rnacentral:lncRNA from 1 species
GCUAGCUGCUCAGAUUGAUUUUGACUGGAUACUUUAUUCUGUCAUGCAUUAAACAGUACUAGAAUAUGGUGAAUAUACCAAAGGUCACUGUUGUGGAUAUCUUCUAUCAUCCGAAGUACUUCAAAUCUCGUCGAUAUUAUUCCUGGCACACGCAUUGUGGCGGUUCUAGCUUUGAAGUUGGUUAAUGUUAUACCUGGGGUAAGAGAAGCUCAGCCAAAGUGCUAUCUUGAGGCGAUGAAUUUCUUUUUGGUUGUUCAUGCUCCAUUCAUUUGAAAAGAGUAUUAGUUUGGUAACACGACACACAAUGAUGUAUGGGAAAUUAGUUUGUAAAGAGUAGUAGUUUGAAAAGAGCUAAAUUCUUGUUGUAUUAGGUCUGUAACAUUUAAGCUCAGAAAUUAUCAGUUUAAUAGAUAUAUGACGAGGAUAAAAAUGUUGAAUGCAUUGAUAAAUGAAAUUUCUCAGCCACAGUUUUGUUGAGCGUCUGAACGUUUUAGAGAUUUCUGCAUACAAUCUUUCAUGUUGGAACUAAAUUGUCCCAGUUAUGCAUGUGAGUGUUGUGGUAGGGACAUGACGAGAUCGUGAUGACUGGAUUAAUUUACAGUUUAUUUGGGUACCCAUCAAGUUGGUGUUCGAAGCGGCCAAUAUUUUUGUCUACUCUGUUGUCUGCUUAGCUAGACGGUCACAUGUUCAGAACCACUCUUAACGACACAAUGAUCAUGGUAAUUGUUUCAUAGUUCUACGCCUUGUAGUUAUGCUUCUUCUAUACUCUCCUUGAACAUCUCCGUCGAUCGAAUAAUGCACUUUCCUGUUUGUAGAUUGCAAAUAUAUCUAUCUGAUGCUUCAAUGACAAAUCGAUGAUCAAUAGAUCAGGCUUUGUGCUUCAAAUCCGUCGGACCUCGAAGGCGAUGGCAAAGAUUUAUGCGGAUUUGGCUUUUGAUACGAAGCAUCCAUUCAUGUUCAUAAUCUGUUGUGAUCGUGCUUGCUUAAUUUUCUGUAGGUAUAUGCAACUUUUUCGGGAAUUUUUUCAACAAUUUCUUCAGUAAAACGAUCUUAUAUCAUUGGAAGUAACACCACUGGCUAGGUGGUGAUAAUAUUCGUCAUUUACAUGUUUUAUGACAUCCUAAUAAGCUCAAACCAAAAUAAUGGAGAUUAGGAACCUACCAUACACAGGAGGCGCCACGCCCUCCCAAUGAUGUUGUGGUAGUAUCGAGGAAGAUUCACCGGUCACCACGGUCGGCUACCUUGCACGUCACCACUACUAGCAAGUUCAUGCCAAUCGCUGGUCACCUCUUUUGUUAAGCAGUGCAAAUAAUGCUGAACAUUCUACCCAAUUUAUAGUGGAAAAUAGUAGAUCAUGCUAAAGGCAACUGCUACAUCAUUAGCAAUUCAAAAUCAACUAGGACUUUCAGAUAUGUUCUUGUUUACCAAAAAUUGAACAAGAGAAGUCCCACAAAACAGGGAAAUGGAUGAAUAAUUAUAAAGUAUAUGUUUAUGCAUGUCGUACAUCGAAACAAGAAAAGGACAUACAUGUAAACUAUGCCGGGUAACUUGCUUGGAUUCUUACCUGAUUUUGAGUUAACUCAUAACAAAUGCACAAUUAACUGUCUAUGAUUUUCCAUUCACACAAUGCAGCUAAUUAUUUAUCAUCAUCACAAGAAUCAAGAAACGCAUAAUAGCCAAACCACAAAAAACAAGGGCAAGGACAACACCAAACAUAUUCUUCAUAAUUAUAGGUUACGCCUGGAUUUAAUUGUGCAUAAGGCAACAAUUCCGAGAGUUACACCACAAUCACGUGCAUGACAACUGUAAUGUUAGCAAGAUUCUUGGAAGUCCUUAAAUUACAGAAGAUUUCCUCAAUAGUGAUUUUUCGUCUGUUAUCCUUUUUGCAUGGAGCCGUAGUUUCUUUAGCACAUUUUUGAAGGCCAGGUCUUGAUGAGUUUUAUGCACCGGAGCAAGGAUCUCUUCAAGUAAGCUGAAUCUUGAACCAGGGACGAAGAGCAUAAGAGAGGUGUGCGUCUCGGUGACCGAAAGAAUCCCCUCUAGAACUCGACGGCUAGGAUCAUAUGAGUAAACCUUUUUCUGAAACUUGUCGUGAACCAAGUGCUUGCUAGUCACAAUCACAAUCUUCUUCCCCGACUUGCAAUUGCCAAUAGUACCAAUAACCCUCAUAAUCUGUGGCUCGGCCAAUUUUCCUUCUACCUGCCCAAACAAAUCGAUUCGAUGAUUCAGCGACCAAUCAUCAGAGCCAUAAUCCAGCAGUCCCCAAAUCUCCAAGGUGCCGCCAUGAGGGAUUCCGUUGCGAAGAUCCCGGACAAUGCACCGCUGGUCAUCCAUCACAACCAGGUGCUCUCCUUCCGACUGGGAUGAGGAGCGCAGAUGCUCUCUUGGCCCCCAGAACGGCGGCGAACGGACACAUCCGAAGGUCUCCUCUGCGACAGAAAACGAUACGAUAGCAGCUCUUGGCCUUCUGAUGAUAAGUGAAGGAUUGACCAACCAGUGCAGGAACCCGUUGGCGGACACGGGUGAUAUUUUGUUCACCAUUGCAUGAGCAACUGCAGAAUUUGCAAACUGGGACCACUUGAAGGGUACUCCUCCAGCCGCAGGCCUCCAGCGGUCAGCUCCAGGUGUGUACACAUCACACCUGAUCGUCUCCUUAUCAUCAGAUAACCCAUUGAUCAACCUGACGACCUUGUACUCCCUUGUCCGGGCAUCAAAUCCCAGUCCGGCACUGGAAUCGUAUGUCGGAACACGGUGAGGUGGCAGACGCGUGAUCGCCCGUGUAGCCGCAUUGCAAACAUAGUAAGCCGGCGCGGCGGCGUCAUACAGGAGGGUGAGCCCGCAGCAUGGCGAGGGCGUCACCACUUCGACGGAGUUGCGGCGGGCGCAGUCGAAGGUGAAGAGUAGGUCGUCUACGGGGCUUGACGGCGAGCACGCGUACACAGCGACGGAGCCGAAUGUUGCUGCGGGCGAGAGCACGAGGAGCUUCGAAAGUUGCCUAAUCUGCAAAUGCAGGUGUAUGUUAAUUAUUGAUAUUCCAUCAGAUUUCUCUUAAAACCCAAGGAAAGUGUGAAUCAUGACUAUUAGAAAAAUUAAGGAGUAAUUGACUAGUUGGCUGGCAAAGUACUAAGUGCAUGGUACAGACAGAAACAUGCAUCAACAUGGAAGAAACUGAGCUCAGAACUGACUUCAGAUCUACAAAAUAGCAGUUUUCUGCAGUAUGCAAUGCAUAAACAGAGAUUCACGGCCAAUCAUCUUAGAAUGUGGCAAGAAAUACAUGCAUACCAACAGCUAGAGUCUAGAGAUACUAAGCAAUAACAGAACCCUCGAUCAAAUCUACAGUAACAUCACCAAUCAGGUCACGCUUGUAUGUUACAAAUCGAAGACUCAAAGGACCUCAGUGUGUUUCAAAAACCUUACCUCUCUUGCUCCCAGCUCAGUAAAGAAGUGGUCGAGCAAUGAACGCUUUGCCUCACAGACUUGGCAGUAGACAAUAGAUUUUGGAAUGGAGUUCCUCAAUGUUGAAGAUACCAUGUUAACAUAUGCCACAACAGUGAGGUUGAGUAGUAAAUACAAAUAAAAAUAUCUAUGAUCGGCAACAUUCAGCAGACAAGUGGUCUGAACACCGUAUAAACCCAUACCAUUAUAUAUGAUGAUAAUGAUGAUUGUGCUGCAUAAGUUCAGAUGGUUUAUGUGAAGAGUAACCCCACAAAGCAUAUUAAUCCUAAGUUCUUCUAAGCACAUCAGCUGCAGAAGAUGAACGAGGUGAGAAUCUUGUAUACUAAGUCUUGUGACAAUUUUGCUGAUUUGUUCACUAAAUCAUUACCGGCACCAUCCUUUGAGAGACGUGUGCCUGGAAUCGAUAUAAUAAGACUUAGGGAGAUGCAAGGUUCACAAACUCAUUGUUAAAAUCUCGGUCCCGAUGAUCGAGUACUCAACUUGAAGGUUGAGUGAAUUAUACUCUUUUUUCCUUGAGUGAGUAUUCCUGAUGUUUCUCACAUGAGGUUUUUGACGAGGCAAUUCGUGCAAUACAAUAACGCAUAUUGUGCGCUCUUUCUCCAUAUUUUUUCCACUGGGUUUUUUGGAGUCUUGACGUAUGGAUAUACGGAUAACUGUCCAAGGGGGAGUGUUGGGAAACCAACAGCCCACAGGACAGGGUGCGGCCUGGCUUGCCCGUUGCACCUCCUGUUGACCGAACGUUUUCCUCACUUAACGUUAUGUAGGUACUUAUCCCCUACCCCUAGCUAUAUAAAAAGGAGAGCACUCUUUGUAUGUAUAGUUGAUCAAUGAAUAAUAAACAGAGCUCUACCCCUACUUCUCUGUGUGAAUUUUACUUUCUAUACGUGUGUGUGAUCGACUACGCCUACGACACUUCCGCUGCAGAAGAUGUGUGCGUGCGACCUGGUGCGGAGCUGCCUUUGUUGGGAGGAAGGAAACAAACUAAUCAAUGUGUCUAUCCCUUGCCUUUUUUCUCCUCGCACAGUAAAUCGAUCGACGUGGCAUAGCCCAGUGAUGGUCCUCUACUUGCACUUGGAGAGUGUAAUUUGUAUAGUCUAGAUUUUUUUUAUUUGGUACAUUCAUAAUUACCCCUCGUAUUUAACAAAUGAAACAUACAACCUUUCUAGAAACUUUUAUCAGCAUUAGAUCUUUAUCCAUUGUAUUUAAGGGAACUAUAAUAGAAGCAUUUUGCAUCAAAUAUACAUGUUUUCCAUUCAUCUAGGUAGUACAAAUUAAUACAUGAAGACAUACAAUUUUUUCGCUAAUCUAAAAAAACAUACCAAUUAUAUUUUAGAAGUCUAAAUUUUUUAACAACUAGUAUUAGUACCAUUGGAAUAUAUACUUCAAAUUUAAAUCAAUUGUAUUUUUACCAUCAAGAACUAAAGUAUAUAAUGGUACUUCUGGAUCUUAAAAUUAGUUGCAUUAUUACUUGGUUCAUUUUGCGUAUAAUGAAAAUUAUAAUAGUUAAGAUCACAUAUCGAAAGAAUGGGUCAUAAUUAUAUAGAAAUAAAUAUGUUUAAUAUAAAUCAAUGAUGGUCGUCUAUUCAGUUCGUACCGGAUACACCAUGCUUGUGGGUCAGACAUCGACAAUGGUGAGUACAAUACUAAAUAAGUAAAUAUUAAUUUGUUGGAGAUCACCAUACCUACACAUCCGGUAGCAGCUCUAGGCGUAUGCAAUCAUGUAUGGGAAAUUAGUCUGUAAAGAGUAGUAGUUUGAAAAGAGCUAAAUUCUUGUUGUAUUAGGUCUGUAACAUUUGGGCUCAGAAAUUAUCAGUUUGGUGGAUAUAUGACGAGGAUAAAAAUGUUGAAUGCAUUGAUAAAUGAAAUUUCUCAGCCACAGUUUUGUUGGGCG